rnacentral:rRNA from 1 species
UACGUAGGGUGCGAGCGUUAAUCGGAAUUACUGGGCGUAAAGCGUGCGCAGGCGGUUGUGCAAGACCGAUGUGAAAUCCCCGGGCUUAACCUGGGAAUGGCAUUGGUGACUGCACGGCUAGAGUGUGUCAGAGGGGGGUAGAAUUCCACGUGUAGCAGUGAAAUGCGUAGAGAUGUGGAGGAAUACCGAUGGCGAAGGCAGCCCCCCUGGGAUAACACUGACGCUCAUGCACGAAAGCGUGGGGAGCAAACAGG